GCCAGUGUGGUGUAGUGGUUUGAGUGUUGGACUAUGACACUGGAGACCAGGGUACAAAUCCCUGCUCAGCCA
rnacentral:tRNA from 1 species